rnacentral:rRNA from 1 species
AGAAUCAACGCUGGCGGCGUGCCUAACACAUGCAAGUCGCACGAGAAAGUGGAGCAAUCCAUGAGUAAAGUGGCGCACGGGUGAGUAACACGUGAAUAAUCUACCUCCGAGUGGGGAAUAACUGAGAGAAAUCUUAGCUAAUACCGCAUAAUACCCACGUGUCAAAGCAGUAAUGCGCUUGGAGAGGAGUUCGCGGCCGAUUAGUUAGUUGGCGGGUAAUGGCCCACCAAGACGAUGAUCGGUA